rnacentral:tRNA from 1 species
GGGGAUAUAGUUUAAUUUGGUAAAACGUAUGUUUUGCAUGCAUAAUAUUAUUGGUUCAAAUCCAAUUAUCUCCA